rfam:Triticum urartu cultivar G1812 contig358895, whole genome shotgun sequence.
AGCCUGAUGCUGCUUAAUGCUACAUCAAAGGUAAAGAUAAUCCCUUGGAGUAAACAUGAGCGAUAAAAUUACCCACGUGACCGAU